AUUGAACGCUGGCGGCGUGCUUAACACAUGCAAGUCGAGCGGUAACAGGUGUAGCAAUACAUGCUGACGAGCGGCGAACGGGUGAGUAAUGCUUCGGAAUCUUCCUCGUAGUGGGGAAUAACCUGGGGAAACUCAGGCUAAUACCGCAUACGAACUACGGUUGAAAGCAGGGGAUCGCAAGACCUUGCGCUAUGAGAUGAGCCGAAGUCGGAUUAGCUAGUUGGUGAGGUAAAGGCUCACCAAGGCGACGAUCCGUAGCGGGUCUGAGAGGAUGAUCCGCCACACUGGGACUGAGACACGGCCCAGACUCCUACGGGAGGCAGCAGUGGGGAAUUUUGGACAAUGGGCGAAAGCCUGAUCCAGCCAUGCCGCGUGUCUGAAGAAGGCCU
rnacentral:rRNA from 1 species